AUAUCAAUAAGCGGAGGAAAAGAAACCAACAGGGAUUGCCUCAGUAACGGCGAGUGAAGCGGCAACAGCUCAAAUUUGAAAUCUGGCCCCCUCGGGGUCCGAGUUGUAAUUUGGAGAAGAUGCUUCGGGUGCGGCCCCGGUCUAAGUUCCUUGGAACAGGACGUCACAGAGGGUGAGAAUCCCGUACGUGCCCGGUGGUCGCUCCCGUGUGAAGCUCUUUCGACGAGUCGAGUUGUUUGGGAAUGCGGCUCUAAAUGGGUGGUAUAUUUCAUCUAAAGCUAAAUAUAUUGGCCAGAGACCGAUAGCGCACAAGUAGAGUGAUCGAAAGAUGAAAAGCACUUUGGAAAGAGAGUUAUAAACAGUAC
rnacentral:rRNA from 1 species